GGGUUGUGAGGUUAAGCGACUAAGCGUACACGGUGGAUGCCCUGGCAGUCAGAGGCGAUGAAGGACGUGCUAAUCUGCGAAAAGCGUCGGUAAGGUGAUAUGAACCGUUAUAACCGGCGAUGUCCGAAUGGGGAAACCCAGUGUGAUUCGUCACACUAUCGUUAACUGAAUACAUAGGUUAACGAGGCGAACCGGGGGAACUGAAACAUCUAAGUACCCCGAGGAAAAGAAAUCAACCGAGAUUCCCCCAGUAGCGGCGAGCGAACGGGGAGCAGCCCAGAGUCUGAAUCAGCUUGUGUGUUAGUGGAACGGUCUGGAAAGUCCGACGGUACAGGGUGAUAGUCCCGUACACCAAAAUGCACAGGCUGUGAACUCGAAGAGUAGGGCGGGACACGUGGUAUCCUGUCUGAAUAUGGGGGGACCAUCCUCCAAGGCUAAAUACUCCUGACUGACCGAUAGUGAACCAGUACCGUGAGGGAAAGGCGAAAAGAACCCCGGCGAGGGGAGUGAAAAAGAACCUGAAACCGUGUACGUACAAGCAGUGGGAGCACCUUCGGGUGUGACUGCGUACCUUUUGUAUAAUGGGUCAGCGACUUAUAUUCUGUAGCAAGGUUAACCGUAUAGGGGAGCCGCAGGGAAACCGAGUCUUAACUGGGCGUUAAGUUGCAGGGUAUAGACCCGAAACCCGGUGAUCUAGCCAUGGGCAGGUUGAAGGUUGGGUAACACUAACUGGAGGACCGAACCGACUAAUGUUGAAAAAUUAGCGGAUGACUUGUGGCUGGGGGUGAAAGGCCAAUCAAACCGGGAGAUAGCUGGUUCUCCCCGAAAGCUAUUUAGGUAGCGCCUCGUGAACUCAUCUUCGGGGGUAGAGCACUGUUUCGGCUAGGGGGUCAUCCCGACUUACCAACCCGAUGCAAACUACGAAUACCGAAGAAUGUUAUCACGGGAGACACACGGCGGGUGCUAACGUCCGUCGUGAAGAGGGAAACAACCCAGACCGCCAGCUAAGGUCCCAAAGUCAUGGUUAAGUGGGAAACGAUGUGGGAAGGCACAGACAGCCAGGAUGUUGGCUUAGAAGCAGCCAUCAUUUAAAGAAAGCGUAAUAGCUCACUGGUCGAGUCGGCCUGCGCGGAAGAUGUAACGGGGCUAAACCAUGCACCGAAGCUGCGGCAGCGACACUAUGUGUUGUUGGGUAGGGGAGCGUUCUGUAAGCCUGCGAAGGUGACCUGUGAGGGUUGCUGGAGGUAUCAGAAGUGCGAAUGCUGACAUAAGUAACGAUAAAGCGGGUGAAAAGCCCGCUCGCCGGAAGACCAAGGGUUCCUGUCCAACGUUAAUCGGGGCAGGGUGAGUCGACCCCUAAGGCGAGGCCGAAAGGCGUAGUCGAUGGGAAACAGGUUAAUAUUCCUGUACUUGGUGUUACUGCGAAGGGGGACGGAGAAGGCUAUGUUAGCCGGGCGACGGUUGUCCCGGUUUAAGCAUGUAGGCUGAUUGUCCAGGCAAAUCCGGAUAAUCAAGGCUGAGGUGUGAUGACGAGGCACUACGGUGCUGAAGUAACAAAUGCCCUGCUUCCAGGAAAAGCCUCUAAGCAUCAGGUAACAUCAAAUCGUACCCCAAACCGACACAGGUGGUCAGGUAGAGAAUACCAAGGCGCUUGAGAGAACUCGGGUGAAGGAACUAGGCAAAAUGGUGCCGUAACUUCGGGAGAAGGCACGCUGGUGUGUAGGUGAAGCCCCUGCGGGUGGAGCUGAGACCAGUCGAAGAUACCAGCUGGCUGCAACUGUUUAUUAAAAACACAGCACUGUGCAAACACGAAAGUGGACGUAUACGGUGUGACGCCUGCCCGGUGCCGGAAGGUUAAUUGAUGGGGUUAUCCGUAAGGAGAAGCUCUUGAUCGAAGCCCCGGUAAACGGCGGCCGUAACUAUAACGGUCCUAAGGUAGCGAAAUUCCUUGUCGGGUAAGUUCCGACCUGCACGAAUGGCGUAAUGAUGGCCAGGCUGUCUCCACCCGAGACUCAGUGAAAUUGAACUCGCUGUGAAGAUGCAGUGUACCCGCGGCAAGACGGAAAGACCCCGUGAACCUUUACUAUAGCUUGACACUGAACAUUGAGCCUUGAUGUGUAGGAUAGGUGGGAGGCUUUGAAGCGUGGACGCCAGUCUGCGUGGAGCCAACCUUGAAAUACCACCCUUUAAUGUUUGAUGUUCUAACGUUGGCCCCUUACCGGGGUUGCGGACAGUGUCUGGUGGGUAGUUUGACUGGGGCGGUCUCCUCCCAAAGCGUAACGGAGGAGCACGAAGGUUAGCUAAUCCUGGUCGGACAUCAGGAGGUUAGUGCAAUGGCAUAAGCUAGCUUGACUGCGAGCGUGACGGCGCGAGCAGGUGCGAAAGCAGGUCAUAGUGAUCCGGUGGUUCUGAAUGGAAGGGCCAUCGCUCAACGGAUAAAAGGUACUCCGGGGAUAACAGGCUGAUACCGCCCAAGAGUUCAUAUCGACGGCGGUGUUUGGCACCUCGAUGUCGGCUCAUCACAUCCUGGGGCUGAAGUAGGUCCCAAGGGUAUGGCUGUUCGCCAUUUAAAGUGGUACGCGAGCUGGGUUUAGAACGUCGUGAGACAGUUCGGUCCCUAUCUGCCGUGGGCGCUGGAGAAUUGAGGGGGGCUGCUCCUAGUACGAGAGGACCGGAGUGGACGCAUCACUGGUGUUCGGGUUGUCAUGCCAAUGGCACUGCCCGGUAGCUAAAUGCGGAAGAGAUAAGUGCUGAAAGCAUCUAAGCACGAAACUUGCCCCGAGAUGAGUUCUCCCUGAGACUUUAAGUCUCCUGAAGGAACGUUGAAGACGACGACGUUGAUAGGCCGGGUGUGUAAGCGCAGCGAUGCGUUGAGCUAACCGGUACUAAUGAACCGUGAGGCUUAACCUUACAACGCCGAAG
rnacentral:rRNA from 1 species